rnacentral:snRNA from 1 species
GCGCUCACUUUGGCAGCACAUAUACUAACAGAUUAGCAUGGAUCCUGUGAAAGGAUGACAUGCAAAUGCAUGAAGUGUUCCAUAUGUUG